CUUUAAAGUCCUAUACCAACACGCAGGCACACAUGUGCACGCACACGCACAUACACACACACACACACACACACACACCCUGAAUCUGCUCUCCAUGCCUCAGAUUAUCUCAGUAUACACAAUGCAACAAUCUUGCAGCAUUCACAAAAACUUUUUUGUUGCUUUUUAGGAAGUAGCGAGGAAGGAAAGCAAAGCAGCAGGAUCCCCUAGAGAGUUUAGUCUUUGGUUUCUAAGUUUAAAGGGGGGAUUGGCUUCAGAGCUUGGAGCAAGACAGAAGAGUCGACGGACGGAUGAGCUGGCAAGGGAGAAGGGAGUCUCUGGGGCAUGAGCAAGGGAGCCGAGAUCUUGUCUGGGUUCAUGAAGCUAGAGAGGGCUGCGGCAGAGGCGUUGAGGCCUGGGUAUAGCACUGGCACUGAGGUGGGAUACCAGCACUUCUCCAGCAUGGGCAGGUAGGCAGUCGCUGAAGGUGGGAUCAGGUAGAAGGGCAGGCAGAAAGGAGGCUGGUGUGGGUGUGGGCCCAGGAACGGGGAGCUGAUCAGGUCACUGCUAGUGAAAUGGCCUUCAUCAUCCGAAAGCUGCAUCCGGUUCUUUUUUGUGGGGGGUUCUUCGGACUCUUGCUUAAUUGCGCCGAUCCUUUCUCCCAUCGUGAACCUGCGUCCGUGGUCACUUUUGAAG
rnacentral:lncRNA from 10 species